AUACGGAGGGAGCGAGCGUUAAUCGGAAUUACUGGGCGUAAAGCGCGCGUAGGCGGCUUUGUAAGUCGGAUGUGAAAGCCCAGGGCUCAACCCUGGAAUUGCAUUCGAUACUGCAUAGCUAGAGUAUGGUAGAGGGAAGUGGAAUUUCCGGUGUAGCGGUGAAAUGCGUAGAUAUCGGAAGGAACACCGGUGGCGAAGGCGACUUCCUGGGCCAAUACUGACGCUGAGGUGCGAAAGCGUGGGGAGCAAACAGGAUUAGAAACCCCGGUAGUCC
rnacentral:rRNA from 1 species